AUGAGAAAAAGGGCCUCAUGUAUACUAAAAUUGGAAAGAUAGUUAUUAGCAGGUCCCCUAAGCAAGGAUGACCUGCAAAUUCAUGAAGAAUUCCAUAUAUUA
ensembl:snRNA U6 U6 spliceosomal RNA